GUCCCUUUAGCACAUUGGAUAGCGCUUUGGACUUCUAAUCCAAAGGUCGUGGGUUAGAAUCCCAUCUGGGAUG